rnacentral:rRNA from 1 species
GACGAACGCUGGCGGCGUGCUUAACACAUGCAAGUCGAACGGAAAGGCCCUGCUUUUGUGGCGUGCUCGAGUGCCGAACGGGUGAGUAACACGUGAGUAACCUCCCCUUGUCUUUGGGAUAACUUCAGGAAACUGCGGCUAAUAUCGGAUAGGACCUCCUGCUGCAUGGUGGGGGUUGGAAAGUUUCGGCGGUUGGGGAUGGACUCGAGGCUUAUCAGCUUGUUGGUGGGGUAGUGGCUUACCAAGGCUUUGACGGGUAGCCGGCCUGAGAGGGUGACCGGCCACAUUGGUACUGAGAUACGGCCCAGACUCCUACGGGAGGCAGCAGUGGGGAAUAUGGCACAAUGGGCGGAAGCCUGAUGCAGCAACGCCGCGUGCGGGAUGACGGCCUUCGGGUGGUAAACCGCUGUCGCCUGUGACGAAGCGUGAUUGACGGUAAUGGGUAAAGAAGCACCGGCUAACUACGUG